rnacentral:lncRNA from 1 species
ACUAUCUUGUUGGCUCAAACAUGAAACAACGAGAGAGAAUUGAGCUCAUCGAGUUCUUGAAAGUAUCGAGGUCUUUGCAUGGACUCCAUCUGAGAUCAGGGGGAUUAACCCAAACCUCUUCAGGUACAAGCUCAAUGUCAUGAGCAGGAGAGAAAAUCUGCAACAGAACAUGUUAACGCGGUGAUAGGGGAGGUUGAGAAGCUAAAAGAGGCAAGUGCAAUAUGUAAGGGUUCAAAAUUUUUUUUUGAUAAUUAUAACGCAUGUGUGUGGUCAUCAUGCCACGUGUGCAUAUAUAUAUGUAUAUGUAUAUAUAUUUCGUUACGGAUUUUAGUAUAAUAUAUGGACCCAUUAAAUUUAAUGGCCAUGAGAAUUUAAGUUGAAAUUGAAUUGAGUUUGAAAAGGGAUGUGUGAGAGAGUGGCCAAAGGGAUUGGACCCAAGGUUGUUUUUAGUAUGGGUGUGUUGCUUGGGCCAAACAAAUCCCAAGGGCCUAAGAAGGCAUUUACGUAUUUUUCCAUUUUGACCCUAAAUUACAAUUAAGGUUAGCAUUUAUUUUUAUUUCCCAUCCCUUCUCUCUUCUCCUUCUCUCUCUAGGUUUGAGCCAAAAGGUUUGCAUUUUGUGAGCUUAGAUUCUAAGAGUUGGAGUGAAUCCUUGAUAGUGGUCAUUGAGAGAAUCAUCAUCUACAAAACGAGGGCUAAGUAUGGAGCCAAGAUGGAAAGUUUAAAAUCGGAGCUAGUGGAGUUUGAGACUUUAAUCAUAAUCUUCCCAUUUUUGGGAGCUUGUAUAGCUUGAUUUUGAGGUAAAGAGGGUUUUUAUUGUGGGGUUUACUUGGGGAUUAUUGUUAAGGGCUUAGAAAACUCUAUUGAGUAAUAUUAUUGGGUAUAAAAUCUAAAUGAAAAACUUGAUUGGAUAAAAUUGAGAAAUCGUGAAAUUUGGUGUUUGGGGUGGCGCUGUGACACCUAUGAUGUUGGUGUCGACACCUUUGAGAGGAGGAAUUAGAGAAUCUAGACACUGAUGGUGGGAUCGACACCUAGGAGGUUGUGUUGACACCUUUGAAAGGCAAAAUAUUAGAAUUGUACUGACAUUGGUGCGACCCCUUGAAUAGUAAAAUUCAUAUUUUUGGCUACUGAAAUUUGGUGCUGACACUGGGGUCGUACUGAGCAGGAAUUGAAACUUCUUGGCUACGGACGUUUGGUGGCGAAACAAAUUUUCAGGUGUCGGACACUUAAAAUGUUUUGAAUAAGGUAUAAAAAAAUUUUUUUUUAAAAAUAGUUUUACUUUGAGCAUGACUAUAUUUGUAUAUAUAUUGUUGUAUUAUUUUGAUAAUGUAACAUUGUGAUAUGUGAAAUUUAAAAUAAUUUUUGGAGAAUGAGUUGGAUAAAGUUUUUACAUUAAAUAUAGUUAAAUGGUUCAAUGAUGGUUUAUAUUGAAUAGAAUUAGGAUGCAUAUUAUGUUGAUGCAUUGUGGCCUUGGGCAAAUGAAAAUCUUUUUGAGUAAAUGGUUUAGGAAUGUUACGUGAAAAUGAUUGAGGAAGGACUUAAGGGAAACGAUUUUGAGAAUGGUUCACGUGAAGAUAGUUUUGAGAAUGAUUUUGAAUAGAUACUGGUUUUUGAGAAAGGUAACUGGAAAGGGUUGAGAAUGACACGCUAGAAUAUACCGGAAAAACCACACAGGAGGCAAUGGCGAUCGUGGUUUACAUUGGGUAUGUCCACCUUGGUGAAAGUCUGAAAAGUAGGCCCAGAUAUUUGUAUUAAUGCCUUCGGUGAAAGUCCGAGAAGCAAGUCCUAGAUGCCAUAUAUUGGGUAGUAAAACCUUCGUGAAAGUCCGAGAAUAAAGCCCUAGAUGCAAAUUCGCAUAUAGGGAUGUCGACCCUUUCGGUGAAAAUCCGAGGAAUGCGGCUGUAUAGAGGGAAUGUCAUAUCCCGGUGAAAGUCGGGAAGUUGACUAGACGUUGUCGCGAAUGCGUAGCGCAUGAUGAGUUUGCGAUAGGUAUUAGCAUAGGUGUGUCAUUGUAACUUAUUGGAUAUUUACUUUUUGAGAAAAUCAUAAAUUUGAGAAUUUGAUAAAUUCUAAAGAAGGAUUAUUGCUUUUCGAGAAAAGCCGGGGUUAGUGAAAGCGUGAUUUGAUAAAUCACGAUUUGAUUGUGUGUUGUUUAAAAUGAUGAAUGCUUUUAGAGAAAAACCGGGUGUUUUGUGAAUAUCACGGAGUAAAAAUCAAAGUAUUAUUUGAUAUGAAUGAAAACAUAUUUUACUGAUCAUGUUUUCAUUGUAUAGCUAUGUAUCAUGGUUUUGGCUGAGACAUCAAGUCCAUUGUUAAAUUCUUUUCAAGAUAAUCACCUUACUAAAAUAAAUUUCAAGUACAGAGGUUAUCCUGAUCCGUGAGGCAUGUGGAUUACCAGUACUUAUCUUGUCUAGAAAGAUAUGUAAUAUAUUUUUGGAGUUGUAAUUAUUCUUUAAGCCCGGUGUGGGAAUUGUCUAGGAUUAUCAUCCAUAUUUUGUAUUUAAUAGUCAUGGAGAGUAUGCCCACUAGAGGGUAGAUGUACAGCACUUGAUGUUAAAGACAAUGUGUUAUCAGAUUAUAUUAGUUUGACUUUUUCACAUUUGAGUUGUUUGCUCACGUGGCCAGGUCUUGGUUUGACCGGGGCGUGACACAAUAGCUGAGGUUCUUUACACAAGUUGGUUAUCCAAUAUAGUGGUGGUAAAGAAGAAAAAUAGUAAGUUGAGAGUGUUUAUCGAAUUUACAAGCCUCAAUCAGGCUUGUACGAAGGACUGCUUUCCCUUGUCAAAUAUCGAUCUGCUGGUGGACUCAAUAUCGGGCCACGCCCACAUGAACUUUUUAGAUGCAUACCAAGGUUAUCAUCAGAUAACGAUGCACAAGCCGGAUCGAGAGAGACCUUCAUCACCACUUGAGGCAUAUUUUGUUACACGGUUAUGCCUUUUGGACUAAAGAAUACUAGGACCAUCUACCAUAGAAUGAUUACCAAGAUGUUGGGGCAUCUGCAGGGGAGUACCAUGGACGCCUACAUCGAUGAUAUGGUGGUUAAGAGCAAGAGUUAGCUCAGAGAAAUUUCUGGGGCAUUAGUCAUCUCGCGGGGAAUCGAAGCGAACUCAGAAUAAAUUGUGGCUAUAAUGACCUUGAGAGUCCAAGAAAUGCUAAGGAGGUUCAGAAGCUAACAAGAAUGGCGACAAAACUUAACCGUUUCAUCAGUACGUUAUCUGACAAAUGCCACUCAUUUUUCCAACUCCUUCACAAAAAUACCAGUUUUUUUUAGGCGAAGAGUGCGAGCUCGUGCUCCAACAAUUCAAAAAGUACUUGACCAAGCCACUAUUCCUGUCCACUCCAAAUGAGGGAGAGCUACUCUAAGUCUACCUCGCCAUCUUUGAACACACUGUUAGCUCGGUAUUGCUAAGGGAGGUAGAUAAAGAGCAACGCUCAAACUAUUUCGUUAGUAAAACAUUUACGGAUUAAUAAACAAGGUACUUGCCACUAGAGAAGCUUGUUCUGGCUUUAGUCAUUACUAUCAGAAAACUCAUGUACUACUUCUAAGUACACCUGAUUGUAGUAUACACUAAGUUCCCAUUGAAGAACAUGCUCAUGAAAUCAGACUUGUUUGGGUGAACUCAAGACAUUUUGAUAUCAAAUUCCUCUAAAGGGCAACGAUUAAGGGUCAAGUCUUGGUUGACUUUGUUGGGAGUUUUCACCUCAACCUAUGAGUCCAAAACUGGGUUAUCUCGCAUCUCCACAUAGAUAAGAAGAGAGUUCGGCAGGAACAUCAAUUGUGGCAGAGGUAACAACUGAAGGUCCCGAGAUUGUCAAGGAACCACCUCAAAUUGAAAUAAUGCCUACAACGAGGACACCCCCUAAGGUUCCCGAGGUUCUUAAGGAACCACCUUAGAUUGAUCAAUCCAAGGCCUAGAGGAUGCAUGUCGAUGGGGCCAAAAAUAGCCUAGGUGUGAGAGCAGGAAUGAUGUGAAAAAGCCCCCGUGGUGGCAAUUUUUGAGCAGUGCCUUAGGAUGAAUUUUCUCGCUACAAACAAUAAAGCAGAGUACAAAACAUUCAUAACAAGAUUAAAUUCCGUUUGAAGCCCAGGGAGCUAGAAUUGAUAAAUAUUUGGCAGUUGCGAAGACUCUCCCCAAUUGGCUAAAUAAUUUCCAGUAGGGACCGAGCUGGAUGGAUCCAGUUAUAGAGUUUUUGGGCCAUGGAAAAUUGUCAGAAGAUAAGAGAGACGCACAAGCUCUAAGUUAAAGCAGCACACUUUUGGAUUUGCUCGACGAUAAACUUGUACAAAAAGUUUUACUCGGGGCCCUAUCUAUUAUGCGUUCACUUGAGCUAAGUGAAGGAUAUUUUGUUCGAAAUCCAUGAGGGAGUUUAUGGACUAUACUCUGAGGGUGCACCGAGCUCUAACGCAAGAAUAUUGAUGGUUGUAUAUGCAAAAGAACGCCCACGUGUAUGUCUGCAAAUGCAUGAAUUAUCGACUAUUUUUUCCCCCCAUUCACAUACCGGCUAGGGAUUUCACCCCACUCACCAAUCCAUGACCCUUCGCCCAGUGGGUUAUGGACAUGGUGGGGAUACUUUUCCAAGCCCUAGGAAAUAAGUUCUUAUUGUCGGCCACAUAUUACUUAAAUGGGUCGAAGCUGAACCACUAGCCCAGCUCAGGGAGGUUUAUGUAUUAAGUUAUACGUAACCACAUUCUGUAUUGGUUCAUAUCCCAGAGUUUCCUGUUAAAUACCACAAACCCCUUAGUCGUUGUGGGCCAAGGGCAAUAGGUGUUCAUGAGUUAAAAAAACGAGUUUUACAAUUCAAUGUUGAGCUACUCGUAGUGCAACCAACAAAACUAUCAUGAAUGGGAUAAAAAAGAGGCUAAAAAAGCCAAAUACAAAUGGGUCGAGAAACUCCUAAGUGUAUCAUAGGCCUACUGGACUACACUGCGGAAAGCAACGAGCAAAAGGCCUUACUCUUUGACAUUCAAUUUUGAAGUUGUAAUCCUAUUGUAUAUUUGGUU